rnacentral:rRNA from 1 species
AUUGAACGCUAGCGGGAUGCUUUACACAUGCAAGUCGAACGAGUGGCGGACGGGUGAGUAAUGUCUCGGAACGUGCCCAGUAGCGGGGGAUAACUACUCGAAAGAGUAGCUAAUACCGCAUAACAUUGGCUAGGCCGAAAUGGGAUUAGCUAGUUGGGGGGGUAAAGGCUCACCAAGGCAACGAUCCGUAGCUGGUUUGAGAGGAUGACCAGCCACACUGGUACUGAGACACGGUCCAGACUCCUACGGGAGGCAGCAGUGGGGAAUUUUGGACAAUGGGGGAAACCCUGAUCCAGCCAUCCCGCGUGUAUGAGAAGGCCUUCGGGUUGUAAAGUACUUUUGGCAGAGAAGCGGUAUCUGCAGAAGAAGCAUCGGCUAACUACGUGCCAGCAGCCGCGGUAAUAC